CUUACACAUGCAAGUCGAGGGGUAUAGUUCUUCGGAGCUAGAGACCGGCGCACGGGUGCGUAACGCGUAUGCAAUCUACCUUUUACAGAGGGAUAGCCCAGAGAAAUUUGGAUUAAUACCUCAUAGUAUGUGAGAAUCGCAUGGUUUUCACAUUAAAGUCACAACGGUAAAAGAUGAGCAUGCGUCCCAUUAGCUAGAUGGUAAGGUAACGGCUUACCAUGGCAACGAUGGGUAGGGGUCCUGAGAGGGAGAUCCCCCACACUGGUACUGAGACACGGACCAGACUCCUACGGGAGGCAGCAGUGAGGAAUAUUGGACAAUGGGCGCAAGCCUGAUCCAGCCAUGCCGCGUGCAGGAUGACGGUCCUAUGGAUUGUAAACUGCUUUUGUACAGGAAGAAACACUCCCUCGUGAGGGAGCUUGACGGUACUGUAAGAAUAAGGAUCGGCUAACUCCGUGCCAGCAGCCGCGGUAAUACGGAGGAUCCAAGCGUUAUCCGGAAUCAUUGGGUUUAAAGGGUCCGUAGGCGGUUUAAUAAGUCAGUGGUGAAAGCCCAUCGCUCAACGGUGGAACGGCCAUUGAUACUGUUAAACUUGAAUUAUUAGGAAGUAACUAGAAUAUGUAGUGUAGCGGUGAAAUGCUUAGAGAUUACAUGGAAUACCAAUUGCGAAGGCAGGUUACUACUAAUGGAUUGACGCUGAUGGACGAAAGCGUGGGUAGCGAACAGGAUUAGAUACCCUGGUAGUCCACGCCGUAAACGAUGGAUACUAGCUGUUGGGAGCAAUCUCAGUGGCUAAGCGAAAGUGAUAAGUAUCCCACCUGGGGAGUACGUUCGCAAGAAUGAAACUCAAAGGAAUUGACGGGGGCCCGCACAAGCGGUGGAGCAUGUGGUUUAAUUCGAUGAUACGCGAGGAACCUUACAAGGCUUAAAUGUAGUUUGACCGAU
rnacentral:rRNA from 1 species